AUUGAACGCUGGCGGCAGGCCUAACACAUGCAAGUCGAGCGGAGCGGCGGACGGGUGAGUAAUGCCUAGGAAUCUGCCUGGUAGUGGGGGAUAACGUCCGGAAACGGGCGCUAAUACCGCAUACUAUCAGAUGAGCCUAGGUCGGAAUAGCUAGUUGGUGGGUUAAAGGCCUACCAAGGCGAAGAUCCGUAACUGGUCUGAGAGGAUGAUCAGUCACGCUGGAACUGUGUCACCUCCCAGACUCCUACGGGGGGCGGCAGUGGGGAUUAUUGGACAAGGGGCGAAAGCCUGAUCCGGCCAUGCGCCGUGUGUGAUGAAGGUCUUCGGAUUUUAAAGCACUUUAAGUUGGCAGGCGUUACCAACAGAGUAAGCACCGGCUAACUUCGUGCCAGCAGCCGCGGUAAUAC
rnacentral:rRNA from 1 species